rnacentral:rRNA from 1 species
GCCACAAUGGAACUGAGACACGGUCCAUACUCCUACGGGAGGCAGCAGUAGGGAAUCUUCCACAAUGGGCGCAAGCCUGAUGGAGCAACACCGCGUGAGUGAAGAAGGGUUUCGGCUCGUAAAGCUCUGUUGUUGGAGAAGAACGUGCGUGAGAGUAACUGUUCGCGCAGUGACGGUAUCCAACCAGAAAGUCACGGCUAACUACGUGCCAGCAGCCGCGGUAAUACGUAGGUGGCAAGCGUUAUCCGGAUUUAUUGGGCGUAAAGCGAGCGCAGGCGGUUGCUUAGGUCUGAUGUGAAAGCCUUCGGCUUAACCGAAGAAGUGCAUCGGAAACCGGGCAACUUGAGUGCAGAAGAGGACAGUGGAACUCCAUGUGUAGCGGUGGAAUGCGUAGAUAUAUGGAAGAACACCGGUGGCGAAGGCGGCUGUCUGGUCUGCAACUGACGCUGAGGCUCGAAAGCAUGGGUAGCGAACAGGAUUAGAUACCCUGGUAGUC